rnacentral:misc_RNA from 1 species
CCGAGUGCGGGCCCCUCGCGGCCCAACCUCCCACCCUUGUCUCUAUACACCUGUUGCUUUUGGGCGGGCCCACCGGGGGCCACCUGGUCGCCGGGGGACGUACGUCCCCGGGCCCGCGCCCCGCCGAAGGCGCGCUGUGAAACCCUGAUGAAGAUGGGCUGUCUGAGUACUAUGAAAAUUGUCAA